rnacentral:rRNA from 1 species
GACGAACGCUGGCGGCGUGCCUAAUACAUGCAAGUCGAACGAGAGCGACCGGUGCUUGCACUGGUCAAUCUAGUGGCGAACGGGUGAGUAACACGUGGGUAACCUGCCCAUCAGAGGGGGAUAACAUCCGGAAACGGAUGCUAAAACCGCAUAGGUCUUCGAGCCGCAUGGCUUGAAGAGGAAAAGAGGCGCAAGCUUCUGCUGAUGGAUGGACCCGCGGUGCAUUAGCUAGUUGGUGAGGUAACGGCUCACCAAGGCCGUGAUGCAUAGCCGACCUGAGAGGGUGAUCGGCCACACUGGGACUGAGACACGGCCCAGACUCCUACGGGAGGCAGCAGUAGGGAAUCUUCCGCAAUGGACGCAAGUCUGACGGAGCAACGCCGCGUGAGUGAAGAAGGUUUUCGGAUCGUAAAACUCUGUUGUUAGGGAAGAACAAGUGCUAGAGUAACUGUUAGCGCCUUGACGGUAUCUAACCAGAAAGCCACGGCUAACUACGUG